AUGUCAAAUGGAAAUGGACAAAAAAACUGUGAAGAGGCUGAUGGCACUAAGCAGCUCAUUACAUCAGAGGAGGUUCUGACACACUUUGACCCCAAUCUACCACUUCGCCUCGCCUGUGAUGCCUCACCAUAUGGCAUUGGUGCCGUGCUAUCUCACAAAAUGCCUGAUGGAUCAGAACGACCAGUUGCCUUUGCCUCAAGGUCCCUAAAUGCAGCCGAGCGCAUUUAUGCACAGAUAGACAGGGAAGCACUCAGUCUAGUGUGGGGAGUGAAGAAGUUUAAUCAGUAUUUAUAUGGACGACACUUCGCCCUGAUCACAGACCACCGACCACUGGUGUCCAUCUUUAACCCUCAGAAAGCUAUUCCAACCAUGGCUGCGGCACGCUUGCAGCGAUGGGCUUUGUUCCUGGGUGCACACACCUACACCAUUGAGUUCAAAGGGACAAAGCUACAUGGAAAUGCAGAUGGACUUUCACGUCUUCCACACAUGCAACCCACCGAAGAAAUGACUGAUCCAGCUACUGUGUUUCAUGUUACACAAAUGGAACCCCUACCUGUCACAAGUGCUCAGGUGAAAAGAGAAACGAAUGGAGACACAAUCUUGUCCAAAGUGUACGAUCUUACUGUGAAUGGUUGGCCGUCCUGUAGUGAUACUCAGUUCUCUGCGUACUCCACCCGCAAAGACCAACUAUCCGUUUGCCAAGGAUGUGUCAUGUGGGGAACUCGUGUCAUCCUGCCACCCAAACUACGUACAAAGGUACUGGACUCACUGCACGAUGGACAUUUGGGUGUGGUUAAGAUGAAAAGUCUUGCUAGAAGCUAUGUUUGGUGGCCAGGCCUUGACUGUGAAAUAGAGAAUAUGGCUAAAUCCUGCACUGGUUGCCAGAGGAUGCUACGCCAGCCUCAAACAGCACCUGUACACGUGUGGGAGUGGCCAUCCACUCCAUGGCAACGCAUUCAUAUAGACAAUGCUGGCCCAUUUAUGGACCAAAUGUUCCUGGUUGUGGUUGAUGUUCACACAAAGUGGCCAGAAAUCUUCCCCGCAAGCAACAGCUGCCAGCACGCUCAAUAG
rnacentral:lncRNA from 1 species